rnacentral:rRNA from 1 species
CCCUUAGAUGUUCUGGGCCGCACGCGCGCUACACUGUUCGACGCAGCGAGUCUUAACCUUGACCGAAAGGUUUGGGUAAUCUUCAGCAAAGUCGAACGUGAUGGGGAUCGAUCAUUGCAAUUAUUGAUCGUGAACGAGGAAUUCCUAGUAAGUGCAAGUCAUCAGCUUGCGCUGAUUUCGUCCCUGCCCUUUGUACACACCGCCCGUCGCUACUACCGAUUGAAUGGUUUAGUGAGAUCUCUGGAUUGACGCUGGCUAGGGGGCGACCCUUGGCCAGGCUGUCGAGAAACUGCUCAAACUUGAUCAUUUAGAGGAAGUAAAAGUCGUAACA